rnacentral:rRNA from 1 species
UACGUAGGGGCCUAGCGUUGUCCGGAAUUACUGGGCGUAAAGGGCGCGUAGGCGGCUCUGCACGUUCGUUGUGAAAUCGCCCGGCUCAACUGGGCGGGGUCAGCGGAUACGGCAGAGCUUGAGCAAGCUAGGGGGCAAUGGAAUUCCCGGUGUAGUGGUGGAAUGCGUAGAUAUCGGGAGGAACACCAGUGGCGAAGGCGGUUGCCUGGGGCUUUGCUGACGCUGAUGCGCGAAAGCGUGGGGAGCGAUCCGG